rnacentral:rRNA from 1 species
CCUACGGGAGGCAGCAGUGAGGAAUAUUGGUCAAUGGUCGUAAGACUGAACCAGCCAAGUCGCGUGAGGGAUGAAGGUACAGAGGAUCGUAAACCUCUUUUGUCAGGGAAUAAAGGCGGGGACGUGUCCCCGUUUGCGUGUACCUGAAGAAAAAGCAUCGGCUAACUCCGUGCCAGCAGCCGCGGUAAUACGGAGGAUGCGAGCGUUAUCCGGAUUUAUUGGGUUUAAAGGGUGCGUAGGCGGCCUGUUAAGUCAGCGGUAAAAGCCCGGGGCUCAACCCCGGCCAGCCGUUGAAACUGGGAGUCUCGAGUUGGAGAGAAGUAUGCGGAAUGCGCGGUGUAGCGGUGAAAUGCAUAGAUAUCGCGCAGAACUCCGAUUGCGAAGGCAGCAUGCCGGCUCCACACUGACGCUGAGGCACGAAAGCGUGGGUAUCGAACAGGAUUAGAUACCCGUGUAGUC